rnacentral:sRNA from 1 species
ACCCCAUGAGAAAACUUUCUGGUGACAGAAGGGCAUUGUGACCCACGUUGCCCAGGGCCAGGGACAGGGCAGCUGCUCAUGGUUCUUCCUCACGAGUUUUCCUGGAGCAGAGGGACACCCCCAAACCCAGGGAGCCCACAGGAGCUUCAGAAGGGCUCGGCUGGAGGGCGGGGCCCCCAUUGCACUUGCUCACUGGGGACUGGGGAGGCUCUGAUCGCAGACCGGGGGUGCUGCCACCUCUGUCUGCUGCCGGCAGAAAGCCACAAGCCAUGAAAACUGAUUGAGAUGAGAAGAAUUCAUCUGGGACUGGCUUUUGCUUUAGGAUGGUGUUGGAAGUUGCUCGUUGUCGCUAGGAGCCUGCUCCACUGUAAGGGUGUCGGGAUCUGAAGAGCUAUGGUGAAACACCACUGAAGCAUUGCCAAGGUUACACUGCACGAAAAGUUGGCAAUCCUCUCUCGGUGGCUGCUGUGGGAGCAGCUAACCUCACAGCACCCGAAGGGAUGUCAUCGGGACCCCAGCUCUGUUUCCAGCAUCAGCUGAUGCCAGCAAGAAGCCAGCCAGGCCUGGGGCUUGGCAGCCCAGGGACUUUACCAUCCACCACCCACAGGGCUGUUGCCCUGGACAGGUCAUUGAUAUCUGACUCACAGCCAAUUCAUGGAUGAUGUGAAUCCAAAAAUCAGAGGCCCACGUGGAUUUAGACAUGGAAAUGCCUCAUCAGCUUCCAUGAGCCAGUCUCUGUGCGGCAGACUUGAACUGCACGGGGGCUGAUAGGAAGCAGCGUGGGCGCUGGGACGUGACUGUGCCCUUGCCACUGUUUCCAGUCACCCAGCUCGGGUUCUGUGGUUGUCUAAGCCUGGGGGUGCUCUGCCGGGUCUGCGGCGGCCCGGCUGCCUUUUCAGCCUAAUCACCAGAGAAGCCACAGAAAGAGCUGGACCACUUAGAGGGGCAGGCUGGCCACAGCCACUUGGAAGAACAGGCUGAUUUUGUACAGAUGUGUCAUUUUCUCCUGACUUUUAAACUGUAAACAUUAUAUAACACCCUAGAAAAAUUUGAAAACAGAUAUAAACCAUCAAUAACACUGGCAACCUAACACUUUUACCUAAGAGCUACCCAUUUUGAUUUAUCUGAUGCGCAGUUUUCAUUGCUGGAAUCCUAAAGACAUA